rnacentral:tRNA from 1 species
GGCCCCUUCGUCUAGCGGCCCAGGAUGCCACCCUUUCAAGGUGGAGACACGGGUUCGAGUCCCGUAGGGGCUA